rnacentral:rRNA from 1 species
CCCUUAGAUGUUCUGAACCGCACGCGUGUUACACUGAUGCAUUCAACGAGCUUUACCUUGGCCGAGAGGCCUGGGAAAUCUUUUUAGCAUGCAUCGUGAUAGGGAUUGAUUAUUGCAAUUAUUAUUCAUGAACGAGGAAUUCCUAGUAAACGCAUUUCAUCAAAAUGCAUUGAUUACGUCCCUGCCCUUUGUACACACCGCCCGUCGCACCUACCGAUUGAGUGGUCCGGUGAAGUCUCGAGAUUGUGGCAAUCUCCUUUAUUGGAGUUUGACUGCGAGAACUUGCCUAAACCUUAUCACUUAGAGGAAGGUGAAGUCGUAACA